ACAUGCACUAGCAGAGGCAGUCGCACACUGUCCCUUCCAACUGCGCGCUGCAGGCCUAGCCUAGAGCGCGUACUGGCCUAGCCUGGAGCGCGUACUGGCCUAGCCUAUCGCGUAUGAAGGAUCUACAGCAUGCAGGCCUACUGCAUGGACGGCGCAUGCACAGGGCACACAAGCAGACUGCGCCCGUCUGUGCGCGAUGGAAAAGAUGUCAAGACCGCACCUUAUGCCUUGCGCAGAUGGGGUGCGUGCACAGUGCACGCAUCCUGCGCUGGCUGUGUAUGUGCGACAUGCAGAGCCGGCACAAACAAGAUCGUUCUGCAUCCAUUCUUGCAGGAUUUUCUACCUUUUUAUCUAUUUUU
rnacentral:lncRNA from 1 species